rnacentral:rRNA from 1 species
GUCGAGCGAGAAGCUACCUUCGGGUAGUGGACAGCGGCGCACGGGUGAGUAACGCGUACACAAUCUACCUUAUAGAGGAGAAUAGCCCUGGGAAACUGGGAUUAAUGCUCCAUAGUAUUACACUUUGGCAUCAAGGUGUAAUUAAAGCUCCGGCGCUAUAAGAUGAGUGUGCGUACUAUUAGCUAGUUGGUAAGGUAACGGCUUACCAAGGCUACGAUAGUUAGGGGGCGUGAGAGCGUGACCCCCCACACGGGUACUGAGACACGGACCCGACUCCUACGGGAGGCAGCAGUAAGGAAUAUUGGACAAUGGGCGCAAGCCUGAUCCAGCCAUCCCGCGUGGAGGAUGACUGCCCUAUGGGUUGUAAACUCCUUUUAUUUGAGAAGAAACGCCUGGAUUUAUCCGGGCCUGACGGUAUCUUAUGAAUAAGCACCGGCUAACUCCGUGCCAGCAGCCGCGGUAAUACGGAGGGUGCAAGCGUUAUCCGGAAUCACUGGGUUUAAAGGGUGCGUAGGUGGUUUGGUAAGUCAGAUGUGAAAGCCCGGCGCUCAACGUCGGAAUUGCAUUUGAUACUGCUGAACUUGAAUCAGGUUGAGGUGGGCGGAAUGUGGCAUGUAGCG